ACGUUUUAUUUUUAACUCUAAUUGUUGUAAUAUUUUAUUUUAUAUUAUUUUUUAUUUUUGCUUUUUGUAAAAAAAUUUAAUUUCUAUUUGUUUUUUUAAAAUAUUAAAAAUUUGGAAUUUUGAACUGGAUUAGUACCCAGGUAAACAAAAUUUAUUAAUGCGGGAGUAAAUUUUUAUUUAAACCGAAAUAAUAUUGACUGAUCUUGGAUUUUUCUUUGGAACAUGUGUUUGGAGAGCCCUCCUUGAAUUUUUAUUAUUUUUUGGUACAUGUAUGAUUGUUUAGUUUUUAUAUUAUUUAUAAUGCUUUUUUUUUUAAUUAAAAACAGAUAGAUACUUGGCUUAUAUGGUGGUUAUUUCAUGUGUUACUAUUAUUAAUUUUUUUCGGAUAAAUUAUUUAUUUUAUUUUUUGAAGUUGGAAAAGAAAGUAAUCUUUUUUAAAUGUUGUGAUGA
rnacentral:rRNA from 1 species